rnacentral:rRNA from 1 species
AUGAACGCUGGCGGCGUGCCUAAUACAUGCAAGUCGCGCGAACGGACGAGAAGCUUGCUUUUCUGAUGUUAGCGGCGGACGGGUGAGUAACACGUGGAUAACCUACCUAUAAGACUGGGAUAACUUCGGGAAACCGGAGCUAAUACCGGAUAAUAUUUUGAACCGCAUGGUUCAAAAGUGAAAGACGGUCUUGCUGUCACUUAUAGAUGGAUCCGCGCUGCAUUAGCUAGUUGGUAAGGUAACGGCUUACCAAGGCAACGAUGCAUAGCCGACCUGAGAGGGUGAUCGGCCACACUGGAACUGAGACACGGUCCAGACUCCUACGGGAGGCAGCAGUAGGGAAUCUUCCGCAAAGGGCGAAAGCCUGACGGAGCAACGCCGCGUGAGUGAUGAAGGUCUUCGGAUCGUAAAACUCUGUUAUUAGGGAAGAACAUAUGUGUAAGUAACUGUGCACAUCUUGACGGUACCUAAUCAGAAAGCCACGGCUAACUACGUG